CCUUUGACGUUAGCGGCGGACGGGUGAGUAACACGUGGGUAACCUACCUAUAAGACUGGGAUAACUUCGGGAAACCGGAGCUAAUACCGGAUAAUAUUUCGAACCGCAUGGUUCGAUAGUGAAAGAUGGUUUUGCUAUCACUUAUAGAUGGACCCGCGCCGUAUUAGCUAGUUGGUAAGGUAACGGCUUACCAAGGCGACGAUACGUAGCCGACCUGAGAGGGUGAUCGGCCACACUGGAACUGAGACACGGUCCAGACUCCUACGGGAGGCAGCAG
rnacentral:rRNA from 1 species